GACGAACGCUGGCGGCGUGCCUAACACAUGCAAGUCGAACGGAAAGGCCCUGCUUUUGUGGGGUGCUCGUGUGGCGAACGGGUGAGUAACACGCGAGUAACAUGCCCUUGACUGUCGGAUAACUUCACGAAACUGGGGCUAUUACCGGAUAGGAGCUCCUGCACCACGGGGGGGGAAGGAGAGAUACGGCGGUGGGGGAUCGUCUCGCGGGAUACCAGCUUGAUGGUGUGGUAGGUGCUUACCAAGGCUUCGACGGGUAGCCUGCCUGAGAGGGGGGCCGGCCACCUGGGGACUAAGAGACGGCCCAGACUGCUACGGGAGGCAGCAGGGGAGAAUAUUGCGCAAUGGGCCGAAGCCUGAUGCGACAACCCCGCGAGCGGAAUAACGGCCUUCGAGUUGUGAACAGAUGUCGCCGUAGACGAAGCGUGAGUGACGGUAAUGAGUAAGAAAGCACCGGCUAACUACGUG
rnacentral:rRNA from 1 species